AUUGAACGCUGGCGGCAUGCCUUACACAUGCAAGUCGAACGGCAGCACGGGAGCAAUCCUGGUGGCGAGUGGCGAACGGGUGAGUAAUAUAUCGGAACGUGCCCAGUCCGUGGGGGAUAACGGUAGCGAAAGCUACGCUAAUACCGCAUACGAUCUAUGGAUGAAAGCGGGGGAGUCGCAGACCUCGCGCGAUUGGAGCGGCCGAUAUCAGAUUAGGUAGUUGGUGAGGUAAAGGCUCACCAAGCCGACGAUCUGUAGCUGGUCUGAGAGGACGACCCAGCCACACUGGGACUGAGACAC
rnacentral:rRNA from 1 species